rnacentral:rRNA from 1 species
CGAACGGGUGAGUAACGCGUGAGGAACCUGCCUCAAAGAGGGGACGAACAGUUGGAAACGACUGCUAAUACCGCAUAAGCCCACGGCUCGGCAUCGAGCAGAGGGAAAAGGAGCGAUCCGCUUUGAGAUGGCCUCGCGUCCGAUUAGCUAGUUGGUGAGGUAACGGCCCACCAAGGCGACGAUCGGUAGCCGGACUGAGAGGUUGAACGGCCACAUUGGGACUGAGACACGGCCCAG